ACACAGCUUUGCGAUCUCCCCAGCAUGCAGAGUCUGAUGUCUUCCCUAUAGAUGAUUCCAGAGACUCUGUGAAGCCACUAUUACAAGGUGAGACGCUUUGCGUUGAUUGGUGCUGCUGGACCACACUGGAGGUGCGAGUCCGCCGUGUAAUGGUUUAUGCCAUUACAAAGGAGCUGGCCUCUGUACUCAACUGGGC